GACGAACGCUGGCGGCGUGCUUAACACAUGCAAGUCGAGCGGUAAGGGCCCUUUCGGGGGUACACGAGCGGCGAACGGGUGAGUAACACGUGGGUGACCUGCCCUCAGCUCUGGGAUAAGCCUGGGAAACCGGUCUAAUACCGGAUAUGACUCCAUGACGCAUGUUGGUGGGGUGGAAAGCCUUGUGCGGCUGAGGAUGGGCCCGCGGCCUAGUCAGGCCUUGGUUGGUAGGGGU
rnacentral:rRNA from 1 species